GCAGAGUAGACGUGUGCGCGUCAAGUGCCUGUCAGACAGGGAGUUGCUGAUGGGACGAAAGGAUUCCUUCCGGAAAGGAUUUCCUGCGGUGCACAGGUCGCAUCCCGCUGC
rnacentral:ncRNA from 1 species